rnacentral:lncRNA from 1 species
UAAUGAAUGUGUAAUUGAAAUUAACAAGCUCCCUUGGAAAAGUAAACAAUUCCUUUUGUGUUUUGGUUUUAAAAUAGAUCUUCAUUUCUUAAAGCAUGCUUUUAAUAUGAGAUUCUGAUGUCUUUCUUGCAUGUAGAUCUUGCCUCAUUCCCCUAAAAUUCCGCCUUCCAGCUCCUAUGCAAGAAAAGGGAUCUCAAGAAAAUAAUUUGUGGAGAAGUUGUAGCGAGAGGACUCAUCUCGGGUUAAAGGCGCUACAUGAUGAUGAAUGCCCUGCAUCUUUGGUGGAAUGCUCCAGCAGAUCUGUAGGGCUGCAGAGCCAGAAAGAAGGAUCAUGA